rnacentral:rRNA from 1 species
GAUGAACGCUGGCGGCGUGCCUAAUACAUGCAAGUCGAGCGAACAGACGAGGAGCUUGCUCCUCUGACGUUAGCGGCGGACGGGUGAGUAACACGUGGAUAACCUACCUAUAAGACUGGGAUAACUUCGGGAAACCGGAGCUAAUACCGGAUAAUAUAUUGAACCGCAUGGUUCAAUAGUGAAAGACGGUUUUGCUGUCACUUAUAGAUGGAUCCGCUCCGCAUUAGCUAGUUGGUAAGGUAACGGCUUACCAAGGCAACGAUGCGUAGCCGACCUGAGAGGUUGAUCGGCCACACGGGAACUGAGACACGGUCCAGACUCCUACGGGAGGCAGCAGUAGGGAAUCUUCCGCAAUGGGCGAAAGCCUGACGGAGCAACGCCGCGUGAGUGAUGAAGGUCUUCGGAUCGUAAAACUCUGUUAUUAGGGAAGAACAAAUGUGUAAGUAACUAUGCACGUCUUGACGGUACCUAAUCAGAAAGCCACGGCUAACUACGUG